UAGAUACCCUGGUAGUCCACGCCGUAAACGAUGAGUGCUAGGUGUUAGGCCCUUUCCGGGGCUUAGUGCCGGAGCUAACGCAAUAAGCACUCCGCCUGGGGAGUACGACCGCAAGGUUGAAACUCAAAGGAAUUGACGGGGGCCCGCACAAGCGGUGGAGCAUGUGGUUUAAUUCGAAGCAACGCGAAGAACCUUACCAGGUCUUGACAUCCCGAUGCUAUUCUUAGAGAUAGGAAGUUACUUCGGUACA
rnacentral:rRNA from 1 species